ACAGGGAAGAGUUAGGGCAUG
rnacentral:miRNA from 1 species